rnacentral:rRNA from 1 species
ACGGGUGAGUAACGCGUGAGCAAUCUGCCCUUCGGAGGGGGACAACAGCUGGAAACGGCUGCUAAUACCGCAUGAUGUAUUCGGGUGGCAUCACUUGGAUACCAAAGAUUUAUCGCCGAAGGAUGAGCUCGCGUCUGAUUAGCUAGUUGGUAGGGUAAAGGCCUACCAAGGCUUCGAUCAGUAGCCGGACUGAGAGGUUGAACGGCCACAUUGGGACUGAGAUACGGCCCAGACUCCUACGGGAGGCAGCAGUGGGGAAUAUUGGGCAAUGGGCGAAAGCCUGACCCAGCAACGCCGCGUGAAGGAAGAAGGCCUUCGGGUUGUAAACUUCUUUGACCAGGGACGAAACAAAUGACGGUACCUGGAAAACAAGCCACGGCUAACUACGUGCCAGCAGCCGCGGUAAUACGUAGGUGGCAAGCGUUGUCCGGAUUUACUGGGUGUAAAGGGCGCGUAGGCGGGACUGCAAGUCAGAUGUGAAAUGCCGGGGCUUAACCCCGGAGCUGCAUUUGAAACUGUAGUUCUUGAGUAUCGGAGAGGCAGGCGGAAUUCCAAGUGUAGCGGUGAAAUGCGUAGA